rnacentral:rRNA from 1 species
ACGCUCGACACCUACGGAGGCAGCAGUCGGGAAUAUUGCGCAAUGGAGGAAACUCUGACGCAGUGACGCCGCGUGCAGGAAGAAGGUUUUCGGAUUGUAAACUGCUUUAGACAGGGAAGAAAAAAGACAGUACCUGUAGAAUAAGCUCCGGCUAACUACGUGCUAGCAGCCGCGGUAAUCUGAGCGGGCUGGCAAGGC